AGUGAACGCUGGCGGUAGGCCUAACACAUGCAAGUCGAACGGCAGCACAGUAAGAGCUUGCUCUUACGGGUGGCGAGUGGCGGACGGGUGAGGAAUACGUCGGAAUCUACUUUUUCGUGGGGGAUAACGUAGGGAAACUUACGCUAAUACCGCAUACGACCUACGGGUGAAAGCAGGGGAUCUUCGGACCUUGCGCGAUUGAAUGAGCCGAUGUCGGAUUAGCUAGUUGGCGGGGUAAAGGCCCACCAAGGCGACGAUCCGUAGCUGGUCUGAGAGGAUGAUCAGCCACACUGGAACUGAGACACGGUCCAGACUCCUACGGGAGGCAGCAGUGGGGAAUAUUGGACAAUGGGCGCAAGCCUGAUCCAGCCAUACCGCGUGGGUGAAGAAGGCUUUCGGGUUGUAAAGCCCUUUUGUUGGGAAAGAAAAGCAGCAGGUUAAUACCCCGCUGUUCUGACGGUACCCAAAGAAUAAGCACCGGCUAACUUCGUG
rnacentral:rRNA from 1 species